CCUACGGGGGGCAGCAGUCGAGAAUCAUUCACAAUGGGGGAAACCCUGAUGGUGCGACGCCGCGUGGGGGAAUGAAGGUCUUCGGAUUGUAAACCCCUGUCAUGUGGGAGCAAAUUAAAAAGAUAGUACCACAAGAGGAAGAGACGGCUAACUCUGUGCCAGCAGCCGCGGUAAUACAGAGGUCUCAAGCGUUGUUCGGAAUCACUGGGCGUAAAGCGUGCGUAGGCUGUUUCGUAAGUCGUGUGUGAAAGGCGCGGGCUCAACCCGCGGACGGCCCAUGAUACUGCGAGACUAGAGUAAGGGAGGGGGAAGCGGAAUUCUCGGUGUAGCAGUGAAAUGCGUAGAUAUCGAGAGGAACACUAGUGGCGAAGGCGGGUUCCUGGACAUUAACUGACGCUGAGGCACGAAGGCCAGGGGAGCGAAAGGGAUUAGAUACCCCUGUAGUC
rnacentral:rRNA from 1 species